AAAUUGAAGAGUUUGAUCAUGGCUCAGAUUGAACGCUGGCGGCAGGCCUAACACAUGCAAGUCGAGCGGAAACGGCAGCAUUGAAGCUUCGGUGGAUUUGCUGGACGUCGAGCGGCGGACGGGUGAGUAACGGCUGGGAACCUGCCCUGACGCGGGGGAUAACCGUUGGAAACGACGGCUAAUACCGCAUAAUGUCUUAGUUCAUUACGAGCUGGGACCAAAGGUGGCCUCUACAUGUAAGCUAUCGCGUUGGGAUGGGCCCAGUUAGGAUUAGCUAGUUGGUAAGGUAAUGGCUUACCAAGGCGACGAUCCUUAGCUGGUUUGAGAGGAUGAUCAGCCACACUGGGACUGAGACACGGCCCAGACUCCUACGGGAGGCAGCAGUGGGGAAUAUUGCACAAUGGGGGAGACCCUGAUGCAGCCAUGCCGCGUGUGUGAAGAAGGCCUUCGGGUUGUAAAGCACUUUCAGCAGUGAGGAAGGUGGUGUACUUAAUAAGUGCAUGGCUUGACGUUAGCUGCAGAAGAAGCACCGGCUAACUCCGUGCCAGCAGCCGCGGUAAUACGGAGGGUGCGAGCGUUAAUCGGAAUUACUGGGCGUAAAGCGCAUGCAGGCGGUUUGUUAAGUCAGAUGUGAAAGCCCGGGGCUCAACCUCGGAACCGCAUUUGAAACUGGCAGGCUAGAGUCUUGUAGAGGGGGGUAGAAUUUCAGGUGUAGCGGUGAAAUGCGUAGAGAUCUGAAGGAAUACCAGUGGCGAAGGCGGCCCCCUGGACAAAGACUGACGCUCAGAUGCGAAAGCGUGGGUAGCAAACAGGAUUAGAUACCCUGGUAGUCCACGCCGUAAACGCUGUCUACUUGGAGGUUGAGGUUUAAGACUUUGGCUUUCGGCGCUAACGCAUUAAGUAGACCGCCUGGGGAGUACGGCCGCAAGGUUAAAACUCAAAUGAAUUGACGGGGGCCCGCACAAGCGGUGGAGCAUGUGGUUUAAUUCGAUGCAACGCGAAGAACCUUACCUACUCUUGACAUCCAGCGAAUCCUUUAGAGAUAGAGGAGUGCCUUCGGGAGCGCUGAGACAGGUGCUGCAUGGCUGUCGUCAGCUCGUGUUGUGAAAUGUUGGGUUAAGUCCCGCAACGAGCGCAACCCUUAUCCUUGUUUGCCAGCACAUAAUGGUGGGAACUCCAGGGAGACUGCCGGUGAUAAACCGGAGGAAGGUGGGGACGACGUCAAGUCAUCAUGGCCCUUACGAGUAGGGCUACACACGUGCUACAAUGGCAGAUACAGAGGGCAGCGACGCUGCGAAGUAGAGCGAAUCCCUUAAAGUCUGUCGUAGUCCGGAUUGGAGUCUGCAACUCGACUCCAUGAAGUCGGAAUCGCUAGUAAUCGUGGAUCAGAAUGCCACGGUGAAUACGUUCCCGGGCCUUGUACACACCGCCCGUCACACCAUGGGAGUGGGCUGCACCAGAAGUAGAUAGCUUAACCUUCGGGAGGGCGUUUACCACGGUGUGGUUCAUGACUGGGGUGAAGUCGUAACAAGGUAGCCCUAGGGGAACCUGGGGCUGGAUCACCUCCUUAC
rnacentral:rRNA from 1 species